rnacentral:rRNA from 1 species
ACCGGAUAAGACAGCGGAAUGAUUGCCGGGCUGAAGACCCUGCAUGACCAGCUGAGAGGAGGUGCAUGGCCGUCGUCAGUUCGUACUGUGAAGCAUCCUGUUAAGUCAGGCAACGAGCGAGACCCACGCCAACAGUUGCCAGCUCGUCCUCCGGGAUGGAGGGGACACUGUUGGGACCGCUCUGCUAAAGAGGAGGAAGGAAUGGGCAACGGUAGGUCAGCAUGCCCCGAAUUAUCUGGGCUACACGCGGGCUACAAUGGGUGGGACAAUGGGUAUCGACACCGAAAGGUGAAGGCAAUCUCCUAAACCCAUCCUUAGUUCGGAUUGUGGGCUGCAACUCGCCCACAUGAAGCUGGAAUCUGUAGUAAUCGUGUUUCAAAAUAGCACGGUGAAUAUGUCCCUGCUCCUU